GACGAACGCUGGCGGCGUGCCUAAUACAUGCAAGUCGAACGCUGAAGGAGGAGCUUGCUUCUCUGGAUGAGUUGCGAACGGGUGAGUAACGCGUAGGUAACCUGCCUGGUAGUGGGGGAUAACUAUUGGAAACGAUAUCUAAUACCGCAUAAUAGCAGUUGUUGCAUGAUAACUGUUUGAAAAGUGCAAUUGCACCGCUACCAGAUGGACCUGCGUUGUAUUAGCUAGUUGGUGGGGUAACGGCUCACCAAGGCGAAGAUACAUAGCCGACCUGAGAGGGUGAUCGGCCACACUGGGAAUGAGACACGGCCCAGACUCCUAAGGGAGGCAGCAGUAGGGAAUCUUCGGAAAUGGACGGAAGUCUGACCGAGAAACGACGCGUGAGUGAAGAAGGUUUUCGGAUCGUAAAGGUCUGUUGUAAGAGAAGAACGAGUGUGAGAGUGGAAAGUUCACAAUGUGACGGUAUCUUACCAGAAAGGGACGGCUAACUACGUG
rnacentral:rRNA from 1 species